CAGGGGUGAGUGUGGCAGUGACAUCACAAGGGCCUUUUGCAGCACCUCAGCUGAUUGGUCAAAGGAGGUUGGGAGGCGGUGAUCUCACAGAGAGUCCAUGACAACGGCCAGGUAGGACAGGCUGCAGGGCUGGGACGAUGUCAGAGACCCCCGUGGCUUUGCUGCAGAGAGUCUCCUUCUUUAGGUCUCUCCCUGAGGACUGAGAGAGAAUUCUGGGUCAUGUCUGUGAGCACGAGGAGGAGACUCGUUGGAGUUUUCCCCGUUCCCACUGCUAAUUUAGUGAGAAGACAGACAUCCCUGUGGAGAAGGAAUUUCUCUCUAACCACACAAGAGCUGGUUAUUAUUUCCUUGGACUGACAUACUCAAAGCCUGAGGGCAGAUGAAAGUGGAUCAGCAAUGAAGAACUGAACAGUGAUGUGUAGCUUCAUUCUUUUCUAACUCUAUUUGAUAUACAAAAGAAUCUCCAUGACUAUGCCUGCGCUGUUAUUGGCUUUAAUAAGGUGGUGACUGCAGUUUGUUCUGAAUCCUCA